UACGUAGGGUGCAAGCGUUGUCCGGAAUUAUUGGGCGUAAAGAGCUCGUAGGCGGUCUGUCGCGUCUGCUGUGAAAUCCCGAGGCUCAACCUCGGGUCUGCAGUGGGUACGGGCAGACUAGAGUGCGGUAGGGGAGAAUGGAACUCCUGGUGUAGCGGUGGAAUGCGCAGAUAUCGGGAAGAACACCGAUGGCGAAGGCAGUUCUCUGGGCCGUAACUGACGCUGAGGAGCGAAAGCGUGGGGAGCGAACAGG
rnacentral:rRNA from 1 species